CUCAAUUGACCCACGUCCAGCUUUACCAAAUUAAUUGCAUGAAGGUGGCACAUCCAUAAACGUUACACAACAGAUGUCAUGUAUCUAAUAAAAGACUAGAACAUAAUAAAACAAUAUAAAUAAGUAAAUGAUUUAUAGCCUGACUCAUUUUCUCUAGACUUUAGACUCUAAACUCAGAAUUUGGCACACAAAACUAAUAGAAAUUGAGGCAAGCUUUACUUGUCAUAUUCCAGCCACCAGGGACGUACAGCUCGCUGGGCACACGGAGAGGUGAUGAACACAUCUGGUUAUUCUAUCAUAUUUUUUAUUUGAAUUUACUUAAUCAUUUUUAUCAUAUGCACAGAAGAAGAAAUGUCUAUGAAUGUCUGAUGGUAUUUUGAUACUGACAAUAAACCUAAAUGUACUUUUAGCGUAAGACAUUUUCUCUUUUCCUAAAAACUUCCAUUACAGCCUUUUAGAGCUUCUGUCAGUUAUCUUGUGUUGAAUGACGUAUUGUUUUAAAGUUGUCUCUAUUGCGUUUCAGACUCAACUUGGGCAGUUUGCUGGGUAAAAUCCACUGCUACUGAUAAUGUCCGUGGAAAUUCACGGCACGUUCAAAACCUCUGGCUCCUCAGCAGCAGUCGAAGAUCCAGAAACAGCCACAGCGAGUGUGGCAGCAGAGGGUGUCGCAUCAACUGGCAAUGACAAGAAAAGCGGAUCAUUCGGGGUCUCGCUGUUCGUCAAUGCCCUCAUUCAGAUAGGAAUUGGAGGAUAUUUCCACCAUGACUGCCCGGCCCAGCCCUACAUUCCCAUCUACAUGGAGGUACUGGGAACCGUCACAAUUGUAACAGUGAUUUCUUAUUGGUGGUAUAAGGACAGCCCCAAGAACUACCUGGUCAUCACAAUCUUGACUUUGGGCCUUCUCUUCUGCUUUUGCUUCUUCAUCACUGGUAAGUUCAAAAGAUGGAACAGUAGACAGACCAAUUUAAUUCAAAUGAAAAUAUAAAUAUAUUAGCUGAAAUGUGAGUGUUGCACAUGUUUCUUAUGAUUGUUGACUAAGUGGAUAGCUGUUAACAAGCCACUAGAUGGCCCCCUAAUGCCUCUACAUGAUCCUCACAACAUUGCUAGAAACAGACUUAAGAAUUUGUCAACACAAUUGUAUAGAAUCUUUUUAGAUUAGAAGAUAGAAUAUGAAAAUAU
rnacentral:lncRNA from 1 species